rnacentral:rRNA from 1 species
GAUGAACGCUGGCGGCGUGCCUAAUACAUGCAAGUCGAGCGAACGGACGAGAAGCUUGCUUCUCUGAUGUUAGCGGCGGACGGGUGAGUAACACGUGGAUAACCUACCUAUAAGACUGGGAUAACUUCGGGAAACCGUAGCUAAUACCGGAUAAUAUUUUGAACCGCAUGGUUCAAAAGUGAAAGACGGUCUUGCUGUCACUUAUAGAUGGAUCCGCGCUGCAUUAGCUAGUUGGCAAGGUAACGGCUUACCAAGGCAGCGAUGCAUAGCCGACCUGAGAGGGUGAUCGGCCACACUGGAACUGAGACACGGUCCAGACUCCUACGGGAGGCAGCAGUAGGGAAUCUUCCGCAAUGGGCGAAAGCCUGACGGAGCAACGCCGCGUGAGUGAUGAAGGUCUUCGGAUCGUAAAACUCUGUUAUUAGGGAAGAACAUAUGUGUAAGUAACUGUGCACAUCUUGACGGUACCUAAUCAGAAAGCCACGGCUAACUACGUG